GAUUAACGCUGGCGGCGUGCAUAACACAUGCAAGUCGAACGAUGAAACUUAACUGAUUUCUUCGGAAUGAUUUUAAGUGGAUUAGUGGCGGACGGGUGAGUAACGCGUGAGUAACCUGCCUUGGAGAAGGGGAUAGCCUUUGGAAACGAAGAAUAAUACCCUAUGAUAUGAUAAUAUCUCAUGAUAUUAUCAUCAAAGAUUUAUCGCUCUAAGAUGGACUUGCGUCUGAUUAGUUAGUUGGUGAGGUAACAGCUCACCAAGGCAGCGAUCAGUAGCCGGCUUGAGAGAGUGUACGGCCACAUUGGGACUGAGACACGGCCCAGACUCCUACGGGAGGCAGCAGUGGGGAAUUGUGCACAAUGGGGGAAACCCUGAUGCAGCGACGCCGCGUGAUUUAGAAGGCCUUCGGGUUGUAAAAAUCUUUUGUAUGGGAAGAAAAUGACAGUACCAUACGAAUAAGGACCGGCUAAUUACGUG
rnacentral:rRNA from 1 species